rnacentral:rRNA from 1 species
AUUGAACGCUGGCGGCAGGCCUAACACAUGCAAGUCGAGCGGAUGAAGGGAGCUUGCUCCUGGAUUCAGCGGCGGACGGGUGAGUAAUGCCUAGGAAUCUGCCUGGUAGUGGGGGAUAACGUCCGGAAACGGGCGCUAAUACCGCAUACGUCCUGAGGGAGAAAGUGGGGGAUCUUCGGACCUCACGCUAUCAGAUGAGCCUAGGUCGGAUUAGCUAGUUGGUGGGGUAAAGGCCUACCAAGGCGACGAUCCGUAACUGGUCUGAGAGGAUGAGCAGUCACACUGGAACUGAGACACGGUCCAGACUCCUACGGGAGGCAGCAGUGGGGAAUAUUGGACAAUGGGCGAAAGCCUGAUCCAGCCAUGCCGCGUGUGUGAAGAAGGUCUUCGGAUUGUAAAGCACUUUAAGUUGGGAGGAAGGUCAGUAAGUUAAUACCUUGCUGUUUUGACGUUACCAACAGAAUAAGCACCGGCUAACUUCGUG